UGGGGAAUUUUGGACAAUGGGCGAAAGCCUGAUCCAGCAAUGCCGCGUGUGUGAAGAAGGCCUUCGGGUUGUAAAGCACUUUUGUCCGGAAAGAAAUCCUUGGCUCUAAUACAGUCGGGGGAUGACGGUACCGGAAGAAUAAGCACCGGCUAACUACGUGCCAGCAGCCGCGGUAAUACGUAGGGUGCAAGCGUUAAUCGGAAUUCUGGGCGUAAAGCGUGCGCAGGCGGUUUGCUAAGACCGAUGUGAAAUCCCCGGGCUCAACCUGGGAACUGCAUUGGUGACUGGCAGGCUAGAGUACGGCAGAGGGGGGUAGAAUUCCACGUGGUAGCAGUGAAAUGCGUAGAGAAUGUGGAGGAAUACCGAUGGCGAAGGCAGCCCCCUGGGCCAAAUACUGACGCUCAUGCACGAAAGCGU
rnacentral:rRNA from 1 species